rnacentral:lncRNA from 1 species
ACGACGAGUUCCUUUUAUUAAGGAGUUUAGAAAGUCCACAUGUACAGCGUUGGACACCACUCACACACGACCUAGACUUCACAGCACUGCUACACACCACGACCUGGCCCAGGGCUCCAUCAGAAGGUACGUGGCCAGAUCCCAGAUCCCACCACCCCCCCCCCCCGGCCAUCCCUCCCCAGGGAGGUGUCACCACGGAUGGUUUAGCCUAAUCCAGGGCUGCAGCACUCGGGAAUAAUCCUGGGAAAUCCCACAUCUUGGCAUGGAUGAAAUACUUCUCGUGCAAGUCAAGACAAAGUCAUUAGGGAGUCCUGGGUGACAGGGGCAGGUACACAAGGGUGUGCUACCGACGAGCUGCACAUACAGCAUCCCCUCCCCAGCACUGAAAACCACUGGUGGAGGGGUCCAGGGAAGGGAUGAGCCUUCCCACCCGGACACACGGCUCCGUGUGCUGCCUUGGCUUGAAGGCGAGCACUAGAAAACCCAGCUACAGCUAAUCCAUGGAGAUUAAUGGACAGAAAGUAAAGAUGGGCGUUCUGCUCCCUGCCUGUGCACAGCCCACUCCAAAGGGGUCCAUCGAGGCACAGGGAGAUCCUUGGAAACUGCUCUUGUGCUGGCUGGGAAAUGCCACUGCUGAGCAUCCCCAGAUCCUACGGUUUGAGCAUCCAGCCUGGAUGGCUGCUCCAGACGGGGAUGGAGCGGGUAGAGCUGGUGCCUGUGCUCGGAGCUUGUCCUUGUCCACAAGCUCAGAGGAGCAUCUUUGGCAAAGGGGGAAGCUGCAGUGAUCCCAAAUGCAUCAUUUGUCCCCAUUUUCCUGCCAGGACAGACAGAAGGGGCUCGCCCAGUGGGGGAAAGGGGCUUGUCCAGCACAGGAUCCGAGGUGGGGAAGGCUUAAAAGGAGAAGCACGCAGGGAAGAUGAGUCUUUGAUCUCCCCAUGCCUUAAGCCGCCCUGGAAACAGGGAUGGUGGGAGCUUUCCUCCCACCCUCAGGCAGUCUGUCUGUCUGGUGGUGUCUCUUGGGGUUCUGCUCCCCGUUACUGCUGUAGCACAGGCAGAAAAUCAUGUAGGCUGUCCCUCUCCCCGCUCUGUUCCCAUAGAGUCCACUCAGGCUGGGUUGUUUGGGGUUAUUUUUUGGACAAAAUCCCCCAUUUGAGUCUUUGCAGGGAGCCGGAGGGAGAAUUGAGCCCCACACCUUGUAGCAGCUCCUCCUUGGGUUGGCUGGUGAGAAGCAUCCUCCGCCUGUGCC